rnacentral:sRNA from 1 species
UCAAAAAAAUCUCAGUGAUCCUAAAAAAAUCCACCAACAACUAGCAGAACAGCAACAACAAAUAUUUACAUCUUGCAUCGAGUUUCAAUUUCCAAUUGAAAACAAGACAAAAAGCUAAGCUCAUCAUCUUCCAGCUUUUCUUCAACACCAACAACUUCGCCUGCAAAACGAUUAUAAUGCGUGGUAGUGACGAACUUUUAAGUCAAGCAGCAGUUAUGGCGCCCGCUUCGGACAAUAAUAAUCAGGAUUUA